AGAGACCUCUGCUUCCGAUGGGGAAAGCUUUCCCCUCAACUCUGGAGUGUUUCUAGCCAUUUUAUCUAAGAAUUCUGCCCAGGAAAUAGUCGUCAGACUCCACCUCGCUCACCUCACCCUAUCCAGACACCAGUGUCCUUGCACAUGAGGCUCUUUCCUGCUCCACUGAUGUUGAUCUUGGUCAUGAGACUUGCUUGGGCCAAUGGUUAUUACAACAGAAGAUCACAGACUGGGUGGCUUAUAAACAAUUGGAAUUUAUUUCUCACAGUUUUUUAAGCAGCUGCCUCAUAAACUCCCCUGAGGGGGCUGACAAGUCUGAAAUCUGCUGGGAAGGCUGGUAU